AUUGAACGCUGGCGGCAUGCUUUACACAUGCAAGUCGAACGGUAACAGGCCGCAAGGUGCUGACGAGUGGCGAACGGGUGAGUAAUGCAUCGGAACGUGCCCAGUCGUGGGGGAUAACGCAGCGAAAGCUGUGCUAAUACCGCAUACGAUCUAUGGAUGAAAGCGGGGGACCGUAAGGCCUCGCGCGAUUGGAGCGGCCGAUGUCAGAUUAGGUAGUUGGUGGGGUAAAGGCCCACCAAGCCAACGAUCUGUAGCUGGUCUGAGAGGACGACCAGCCACACUGGGACUGAGACACGGCCCAGACUCCUACGGGAGGCAGCAGUGGGGAAUUUUGGACAAUGGGCGCAAGCCUGAUCCAGCAAUGCCGCGUGCAGGAAGAAGGCCUUCGGGUUGUAAACUGCUUUUGUACGGAACGAAAAGGUCUGGGUUAAUACCCUGGGCCGAUGACGGUACCGUAAGAGUAAGCACCGGCUAACUACGUGCCAGCAGCCGCGGUAAUAC
rnacentral:rRNA from 1 species